UGAAUACGAGACGCUAAGGCGUCGAAGUAGUGUAUGUCAUACUUCCAAGAAAAGCUUGCACUGUCAUAAGUAAAAAAUGCCUGUACCAUAACCGACACAGGUGGGUAGGUAGAGUAUACUAAGGGGCGCGAGAUAACUCUCUCUAAGGAACUCGGCAAAAUAACUCCGUAACUUCGGGAGAAGGAGUACCUUAUUCUAUAAGGUUGCAAUAACAAGAUCCAAGCAACUGUUUAUCAAAAACACAGGUCUCCGCUAAGUCGUAAGACGAUGUAUGGGGGCUGACGCCUGCCCAGUGCCAGAAGGUUGAAGAAGUCGGUUAGCAUUAGCGAAGCUGGUAACUGAAGCCCUGGUGAACGGCGGCCGUAACAAUAACGGUCCUAAGGUAGCGAAAUUCCUUGUCGGGUAAGUUCCGACCCGCACGAAAGGCGUAAUGAUUUGGAUACUGUCUCGGAGAGGGGCUCGGUGAAAUAGACUUGUCUGUGAAGAUGCGGACUACCUGCACCAGGACAGAAAGACCCUAUGAAGCUUUACUGUAACUUGAAAUUGAAAUUGGACUUUAUUCGCGCAGUAUAGGUGGGAGGUGUUGAUUAUAAUCUUGCGGGAUUAUUGGAGCCAUCAGUGAGAUACCACUCUUGUAAUGUUAGAUUUCUAACUUUGAAUCAUUAUCUGGUCAAAGGACAGUUUCAGGCGGGCAGUUUGACUGGGGCGGUCGCCUCCCAAACGGUAACGGAGGCGUACAAAGGUUUCCUCUGAACGGGUAGAAAUCGUAUCUAGAGUGUAAAGGCAUAAGGAAGCUUGACUGUGAGACCUACAAGUCGAACAGGGACGAAAGUCGGUCUUAGUGAUCUGACGGUACUGAGUGGAAAGGCCGUCACUCAACGGAUAAAAGUUACUCUAGGAUAACAGGCUGAUCUCCCCCAAGAGUUCACAUCGACGGGGAGGUUUGGCACCUGGAUGUCGGCUCAUCGCAUCCUGGGGCGGUAGUACGUCCCAAGGGUUGGGCUGUUCGCCCAUGAAAGCGGUACGCGAGCUGGGUUCAGAACGUCGUGAGACAGUUCGGUCCAUAUCCGGUGUAGGCGUUAGAAUAUUGAGAGGAGCCUUCUUUAGUACGAGAGGACCGAGAAGGACAUACCUCUGGUGUACCAGUUAUCGUGCCAACGGUAAACGCUGGGUAGCUAUGUAUGGAGUGGAUAACCGCUGAAAGCAUCUAAGUGGGAAGCCCACCUCAAGAUAAGUAUUCU
rnacentral:rRNA from 1 species